rnacentral:lncRNA from 1 species
CAAAGAAGUUGCAGACAGAAUGCAGUCUGUCUCUGCAGUAGCUCACAGCGGGCUCCAUGUCUGAGAAUCCAUCAUUCACUACUUCUCCGAACCCCUCAUCCUCUCUUCCUUCUUCACCUCCUUCUCUUUCUAUACUUCUUUUACGUUCUUUGUGGGUGCCUCCGUUUUUCGUUUGCUCUCUUCUGGCAUUCCCUUGCUCAUGUGCGUGGUCGUCUCUUCUCUGCUUCUCUCCGUGAGUUUCAUGUGAGAUGCGCUGGGUGCUUUCUUACACAGUCGUGUUUUCAGGACUUUCUCGCCCUCGCAAGCAUUCUUUCGCUUCUUCAGUUUGCUCACCACCUGUUUCCAGUACUGGGAGGACUGGGUGCUGUAGACGGAGCAUUCCUGAGGUUUUCCAGCAAACUGGCACGUGUAGUGAGGUCCGAGCCCAUCCUCACUUGGGUUGGUGCAGCUCACCUGGAGCAGGACGUUAGCUCCUCUCACUAGCGUCUCCCAGGUGCAGCGGUGCCCAUCCUUAGUGCUCAGUUGACCUGACCCCAGCAAGGGAUUUACCACCGUGCUGUCUGUUCCAGUCACUGUAUCUGAUGGCUGCUUGGACUUCUUUUUUGCCUCAGAGAAUGACAGGACAAGGAAGAGGAGGGAAAAGAUGAAGGGUAGACUCCGCCCUCGCAUGGCUGUGUGAAUGCAGGCUAAAGAAUGGAAGAAAUCCCUGGUUCAGGGUACUCACAGCACCCUCAGAAUGGAGACAAAAUCACAGCACCUGCAGAACAGGGAGGGAAAAAAACACUAUGAUGCAGGGUUAUUAUAACCAAAACUAAAACAUAGAAAAUGUGUUACUUGAAUUGAAAUAAAGUAAUCUUAACUACAGUAAAAGAACUAAAAAUAAGUUAAAAAAAAAAAAAAAAAAGAAAAAAAAUACAAGAAUAAGUAAGACCCAAGAAUACCUGCAGAACAGGGAGGGAAAAAAAACACUAUGAUGCAGGGUUAUUAUAACCAAAACUAAAACCAUGAAAAUGUGUUACUUGAAUUGAAAUAAAGUAAUCUUAACUACAGUAAAAGAACUAAAAUGUUAAAAAAAAAAAAAAAAAAUAAAAAAAAAAAAAUACAGAUAGUAGCCCAGAUAACAUUUCUCAUUUUCAUUUAGUUUAACUGUCCUAAAAUAACUGAAAUAAAAAUUUAUUAAAUUUAGAACUAGCCCCUAACCAACCCUGCAUUCUAAAAACAAGCUAUAAGUUUACUCUCAGUACAUUUUUACUUACCGAGCUGAGUGUCCUUCAGGACUGAGAGUAAAAGAGGCUUAGUGGAAGGAUAAGAAAGCAGAGGGGAGAAUAAAGGAUAGAAUCGAGGGAUAAAGAAAAAAUGGGGAAAGGGGGGCUGGAUGGUGAAUGCUUUUUGGGGGCAUCAAUAGAGUAUCCAAACCUCCCAGAAUCUGGCACCUCCCUCCUCGUCUGAUGACAAAUGGACACCCCCCACCCCAUCCCUUCUCACAACUUCUUUGUCUCUUUUCACACAGUCUCUGAGUUUCUCUCUCACCUAUCCUGAAUUCCUGAGCACUUGGUGUCUUACGACAUGAAUGAAUAGAAAAAUUGUUUAUUUUUUUGUUUUGAAUAAAUAAUUAAAUAGAAUUGGAAACAUUUAGGGAGACAGAUCUUAAAAACAUCAAACAACAUUUCCUUGUUGUUUGGGUAUAUUUCUUUUUAAAUUUACUUAUCUUUGGAUCAGCAAGCACCCUAAAUUUCCCUAAGGGGAACUCCUUUUUUUCUCCAGUUGAAAGCAAUACUGUAGACUUGAAAAACUCUUCUGUGUGUGCCUGUGAUUUUGUGUUCAUAGACUGAGUGUGUGUGUGUGUGUGUGUGUGUGUGUGUGUGUGUGUGUGUGUGUUUUUUUUUUUUUUUUCUUGCAUUUGCAUCCAUGCUUGUGUAUAUAUGCCAACACUUUCUAAUCCAUCCCUGUGGCCCCCUGGCUUCUACUCACUGCAUCAAAGUCACAAGCUUUUUGCUGUUCUUGU